GGAACGAUACAGAGAAGAUUAGCAUGGUCCCUGCACAAGGAUGACACGCAAAUUCAUGAAGCGUUCUAUAUAAAA
rnacentral:snRNA from 1 species